CCUACGGGGGGCUGCAGUGGGGAAUAUUGGACAAUGGGGGCAACCCUGAUCCAGCCAUGCCGCGUGUGUGAAGAAGGCCCUCGGGUUGUAAAGCACUUUCAGUGAGGAAGAACGCCUGGUGGUUAAUACCCAUCAGGAAAGACAUCACUCACAGAAGAAGCACCGGCUAACUCCGUGCCAGCAGCCGCGGUAAUACGGAGGGUGCGAGCGUUAAUCGGAAUUGCUGGGCGUAAAGCGCGCGUAGGUGGCUUGAUAAGCCGGUUGUGAAAGCCCCGGGCUCAACCUGGGAACGGCAUCCGGAACUGUCAAGCUAGAGUGCAGGAGAGGAAGGUAGAAUUCCCGGUGUAGCGGUGAAAUGCGUAGAGAUCGGGAGGAAUACCAGUGGCGAAGGCGGCCUUCUGGACUGACACUGACACUGAGGUGCGAAAGCGUGGGUAGCAAACAGGAUUAGAUACCCCGGUAGUC
rnacentral:rRNA from 1 species